ACUCCUGCGGGAGGCAGCAGUGGGGAAUUUUGGACAAUGGGCGAAAGCCUGAUCCAGCCAUGCCGCGUGCAGGAUGAAGGCCUUCGGGUUGUAAACUGCUUUUGUACGGAACGAAACGGCCUUUUCUAAUAAAGAGGGCUAAUGACGGUACCGUAAGAAUAAGCACCGGCUAACUACGUGCCAGCAGCCGCGGUAAUACGAAGGGUGCAAGCGUUAAUCGGAAUUACUGGGCGUAAAGCGUGCGCAGGCGGUUAUGUAAGACAGUUGUGAAAUCCCCGGGCUCAACCUGGGAACUGCAUCUGUGACUGCAUAGCUAGAGUACGGUAGAGGGGGAUGGAAUUCCGCGUGUAGCAGUGAAAUGCGUAGAUAUGCGGAGGAACACCGAUGGCGAAGGCAAUCCCCUGGACCUGUACUGACGCUCAUGCACGAAAGCGUGGGGAGCAAACAGGAUUAGAAACCCGAGUAGUCCCAUGA
rnacentral:rRNA from 1 species